GGAUGUCAGGGCAAUCUGGCUGCGGCAUCCGUCACCCCACUGAUCGCCAGGGUUCAUUCGACUGGUCUGGCUGGCUAGGCAGGUGUCCCCUUCCUCCCUUACCACUCCAUGUGUGUCCCUCGUGUGUCCCUUCAGGAGGGCCUGAAGCUGCGUGCUGGUCGAAGAGGAUGACCUUCCCCAAUAGAGAAGGGCUGUUCUUUCGUCAAGGGUAUACGAGUACCUGCACUCCCCUGUUAGAAACUCCAAACAAGUCUCUCAGGGUCCAGCUGCAGGAGGACACAGGGCAGUCAAGCCUCCAAGGCUCCAGAAACAUCCAAAUGAGGCGCUGCACGUGGCAUGAAUUUUUAU
ensembl:misc_RNA 7SK 7SK RNA